rnacentral:rRNA from 1 species
UACAGAGGUCCCGAGCGUUGUUCGGAUUCACUGGGCGUAAAGGGUGCGUAGGUGGCCUGAAAAGUUUGAUGUGAAAGCUCAGGGCUUAACCCUGAAAUGGCAUUGAAUACUGUUGGGCUGGAGGUUUGGAGGGGGGACUGGAAUUCUUGGUGUAGCAGUGAAAUGCGUAGAUAUCAAGAGGAACACCUGCGGCGAAGGCGGGUUGCUGGGCCGACACUGACGCUGAAGUGCGAAAGCCAGGGGAGCAAACAGG